AGAUUGAACGCUGGCGGUCAUUGCCUAACACAUGCAAGUCGAAGCGGGCAGCGGCGGGGGCGACCCUGGCGGCGAGCGGCGGACGGGUGAGUAAGGCAUUCGGAAUCUGCCCCUGAUGUAGGGGGAUAACGUUAGGGAAACCUUACGGCUAAUUACCGCAUACGACCGAGAGGUGGAAAGCGGGGGACCGAAAGGCCUCGCGCAGCA
rnacentral:rRNA from 1 species